rnacentral:rRNA from 1 species
ACGGAAGGCAGCAGUCGGGAAUAUUGCGCAAUGGAGGAAACUCUGACGCAGUGACGCCGCGUGCAGGAAGAAGGUUUUCGGAUUGUAAACUGCUUUAGACAGGGAAGAAACAAGACAGUACCUGUAGAAUAAGCUCCGGCUAACUACGUGCCAGCAGCCGCGGUAAUACGUAGGGAGCAAGCGUUAUCCGGAUUUAUUGGGUGUAAAGGGUGCGUAGACGGAGUAGCAAGUUGGUUAUGAAAUCCCUCGGCUUAACUGAGGAACUGCAACCAAAACUACUACCCUUGAGUGCUGGAGAGGAAAGUGGAAUUCCUAGUAUAGCGGUGAAAUGCGUAGAUAUUAGGAGGAACACCAGUGGCGAAGGCGACUUUCUGGACAGUAACUGACGUUGAGGCACGAAAGCGUGGGUAGCAAACAGGAUUAGAUACCCUGGUA